CACAGAAACAUGGCAGAGCUUUCCCCACCUUCUUGGGUUCAAGGGUCAGUGUCUCGGGCAUGGUAUGUCCUGCUACAGCCCCAUGAGUGAAGCUACGCUCACCUGUUCCUUUGCAAUAUAACCCCUUGCCCUGUUUAGGGUAGAAUCUUCCAUGGAAGUGCCUUGUGUGUGUUCCCUUCUCUUACCAUGCCCUUGGGUGUGGCCUACCCAGGUGUCAGGCAACCUGCUGACAGUGAACAUCAUGAAGAUAGAGUGAGCCCCCUGAAACCUGACCCCUUGCCUCAUUUGAAUAGCUUCUCCUCAAUAAAAGGAGUCAGCACAUGCUCUCACUCUCUCUUCCUGCUGACCCUUAAGGUCAGAGGAGCCUUCACAUUGACCCCAAAGAAAAAGGUAUUUGUGUCUCUUGUGUGGUCAUUUUGCACAGCCCAGUCAGCCCAGUUUACCUGGAGUGACCCCUGAGCCUUUUAGUUGCAAGAAGAGAAACCUGGCACAUGAUUUUGGAAAUUCAAGUGGAAAUGAAACCCAUUAAACACUAUUUGUCAAAAAGUGGUGAUUGAACAAGUUUUGGAAACUAUAUUCAGUGAAAUGAAAGUAUAUGCAAACCAAAAUUUCCACAAAAAUUGACUCAUAGUCAUCCAUAACUAAAA
rnacentral:lncRNA from 1 species